rnacentral:rRNA from 1 species
CAGCAGCCGCGGUAAAACGGAGGGUGCAAGCGUUAUCCGGAUUUAUUGGGUUUAAAGGGUCCGUAGGCGGAUCUGUAAGUCAGUGGUGAAAUCUCACAGCUUAACUGUGAAACUGCCAUUGAUACUGCAGGUCUUGAGUAAAUUUGAAGUGGCUGGAAUAAGUAGUGUAGCGGUGAAAUGCAUAGAUAUUACUUAGAACACCAAUUGCGAAGGCAGGUCACUAAGAUUUAACUGACGCUGAUGGACGAAAGCGUGGGGAGCGAACAGGAUUAGAGACCCCAGUAGUCCCUGUCUCUUAUAC